GACGAACGCUGGCGGCGUGCUUAACACAUGCAAGUCGAGCGGUAAGGCCCUUUCGGGGGUACACGAGCGGCGAACGGGUGAGUAACACGUGGGUGACCUGCCCUCAGCUCUGGGAUAAGCCUGGGAAACCGGGUCUAAUACUGGAUAUGACUCCAUGACGCAUGUUGUGGGGUGGAAAGCCUUGUGCGGCUGAGGAUGGGCCCGCGGCCUAUCAGCUUGUUGGUGGGGUGANGGCCUACCAAGGCGACGACGGGUAGCCGGCCUGAGAGGGCGACCGGCCACACUGGGACUGAGACACGGCCCAGACUCCUACGGGAGGCAGCAGUGGGGAAUCUUGCGCAAUGGGCGAAAAGCCUGACGCAGCGACGCCGCGUGAGGGAUG
rnacentral:rRNA from 1 species